CAGAAGCCAAUCGAGUCCAACAAGGAGAUGAAUGCAGCACUAAGGCAAUCAUUAUCAACAUCCACAUGGAUAUUAAAAUCUCCAACAAUAAUAACUUUAUCGGUUUUAAGAACCAAACUUGAUAUAAAUUCUGAGAAUUCAGAUAUAAACUCUGAAUAUGGACCUGGUGGCCGGUACAGAAUCACAAAUAGAAUUGGCUGUAGUGUUUUCCAGGUUGGAUGUGAAAGACUAAGAACAACGUGGGAUGAAUGCCGUCUCUCCUCAUCAGAUCAGGCUUUCCCCAGAAAGUCUUCCAGUUGUCUACGUAGCCCACAUUAUUCGCUGGGCACCUCGACAGCCAGCGGUUGAAAGACGACAUUCGGCUAAACAAUUCGUCUGUCUGCAAAUUUGGGAGAGGGCCAGAGAAAAUUACGGUGUCCGACAACGUCUUGGCAUAAGCACACACGGAUUCCACAUUAAUUUUAGUGACUUCCGACCGACGGGCUCGGGCGUCAUUACCACCGGCGUGUAUUACAAUCUGACUGUGGCUGUGUCUACUACCGCACACUUGAGCACUUGAGCACUUGGAGCUGACUUUCAGUGUUCGAAGUGCGCCACUGAAAAAUCCAGCAGAAUUCAGUGCACUGAAAGUACCCGGAUGGUGCACUGCAAACGGGCAAAACAUGUAAAACGAUGGACACUACUCGCCCUAAGCGGCCGCCAUCUUGGCUACGUACCGGAAGAGGAGGAGCCAUUUCGCCAGCUUUUCAUUUUAUUUCUAAAACAAUGGCGGACAGCACAAGCGGUAGACCACGAAGCUACAGACCGUAAAUAGACGUUUCCUGGAGGUGCUGGUGCUGGUCCUCUGCUGCCCUCCCGACAUCUGGCUCCAAUGACCUCUGGCACCUCACAUCCACCUCCAGGGCCUUGAAGAAGAUGGACCGCCAUCGCGUCUUCAGUAUCUCGAAGGACCUCUCCACAACACACCUCGCCUUUGACAGGCAGCAGUUGUAGCUUGGAGGUGGACAGGCUGCCUGAAGGGGGUCAUGAGGCAGAUGGGUUGGGACAGGCAGGGGGAGCCACCAUCCCCAAGGAUACAGUAUCCUGGUGGAGGGGAUGACUGCUCAUAGAAGAUGGGGCUGUUAUUCAGGACCCUGGCAUCAGGCACUGAGCCCGGGGCCUGUCGAAGGCCCUGGCCACCACCGCCAAAAAAUACAAACUAGACAGGAGAUCUCGGGGCCCCAACCGUGGUCCCAGUCAGUGCCCAGCACAGCCAUGAGGGCGUUGAAUGACUCUGGUGAGCCUGAAGUCCACCCUCAUGUCACUGUGGCCAUCACAACACAACGCCAGCAGUGGCAUUGCAGCAUUGAUACGGCAGCGCCGCCUGGGACUGGGUGGCUGCUGUAGAGUGUGGGGAGGGGAGGGGAAGAUUAUAUUAAUAUGUAAGUCAUUUUAUCAAUAAAAUGUUGUCAUUCUA